GACGAACGCUGGCGGCGUGCCUAAUACAUGCAAGUAGAACGCUGAAGAGAGGAGCUUGCUCUUCUUGGAUGAGUUGCGAACGGGUGAGUAACGCGUAGGUAACCUGCCUUGUAGCGGGGGAUAACUAUUGGAAACGAUAGCUAAUACCGCAUAACAAUGGAUGACGCAUGUCAUUUAUUUGAAAGGGGCAAUUGCUCCACUACAAGAUGGACCUGCGUUGUAUUAGCUAGUAGGUGAGGUAAUGGCUCACCUAGGCGACGAUACAUAGCCGACCUGAGAGGGUGAUCGGCCACACUGGGACUGAGACACGGCCCAGACUCCUACGGGAGGCAGCAGUAGGGAAUCUUCGGCAAUGGGGGCAACCCUGACCGAGCAACGCCGCGUGAGUGAAGAAGGUUUUCGGAUCGUAAAGCUCUGUUGUAAGUCAAGAACGGGUGUGAGAGUGGAAAGUUCACACUGUGACGGUAGCUUACCAGAAAGGGACGGCUAACUACGUGCCAGCAGCCGCGGUAAUACGUAGGUCCCGAGCGUUGUCCGGAUUUAUUGGGCGUAAAGCGAGCGCAGGCGGUUUGAUAAGUCUGAAGUUAAAGGCUGUGGCUCAACCAUAGUUCGCUUUGGAAACUGUCAAACUUGAGUGCAGAAGGGGAGAGUGGAAUUCCAUGUGUAGCGGUGAAAUGCGUAGAUAUAUGGAGGAACACCGGUGGCGAAAGCGGCUCUCUGGUCUGUAACUGACGCUGAGGCUCGAAAGCGUGGGGAGCGAACAGGAUUAGAUACCCUGGUAGUCCACGCCGUAAACGAUGAGUGCUAGGUGUUGGAUCCUUUCCGGGAUUCAGUGCCGCAGCUAACGCAUUAAGCACUCCGCCUGGGGAGUACGACCGCAAGGUUGAAACUCAAAGGAAUUGACGGGGGCCCGCACAAGCGGUGGAGCAUGUGGUUUAAUUCGAAGCAACGCGAAGAACCUUACCAGGUCUUGACAUCCCGAUGCUAUUUCUAGAGAUAGAAAGUUACUUCGGGACAUCGGUGACAGGUGGUGCAUGGUUGUCGUCAGCUCGUGUCGUGAGAUGUUGGGUUAAGUCCCGCAACGAGCGCAACCCCUAUUGUUAGUUGCCAUCAUUCAGUUGGGCACUCUAGCGAGACUGCCGGUAAUAAACCGGAGGAAGGUGGGGAUGACGUCAAAUCAUCAUGCCCCUUAUGACCUGGGCUACACACGUGCUACAAUGGUUGGUACAACGAGUUGCGAGUCGGUGACGGCGAGCUAAUCUCUUAAAGCCAAUCUCAGUUCGGAUUGUAGGCUGCAACUCGCCUACAUGAAGUCGGAAUCGCUAGUAAUCGCGGAUCAGCACGCCGCGGUGAAUACGUUCCCGGGCCU
rnacentral:rRNA from 1 species